rnacentral:rRNA from 1 species
AACGGCUCACCUAGGCGACGAUCCCUAGCUGGUCUGAGAGGAUGACCAGCCACACUGGAACUGAGACACGGUCCAGACUCCUACGGGAGGCAGCAGUGGGGAAUAUUGCACAAUGGGCGCAAGCCUGAUGCAGCCAUGCCGCGUGUAUGAAGAAGGCCUUCGGGUUGUAAAGUACUUUCAGCGGGGAGGAAGGGAGUAAAGUUAAUACCUUUGCUCAUUGACGUUACCCGCAGAAGAAGCACCGGCUAACUCCGUGCCAGCAGCCGCGGUAAUACGGAGGGUGCAAGCGUUAAUCGGAAUUACUGGGCGUAAAGCGCACGCAGGCGGUUUGUUAAGUCAGAUGUGAAAUCCCCGGGCUCAACCUGGGAACUGCAUCUGAUACUGGCAAGCUUGAGUCUCGUAGAGGGGGGUAGAAUUCCAGGUGUAGCGGUGAAAUGCGUAGAGAUCUGGAGGAAUACCGGUGGCGAAGGCGGCCCCCUGGACGAAGACUGAC